CCAAUAGCGUAUAUUAAAGUUGUUGCAGUUAAAAAGCUCGUAGUUGAAUUUCGGGGUCAGUAGGUUGGUCAUGCCACUGGUAUGUACUGGUCUCACUGAUUCCUCCUUCCUGAUGAGCCGUAAUGCCAUUAAUUUGGUGUUGCGAGGAAUCUGGACUGUUACUUUGAAAAAAUUAGAGUGUUUAAAGCAGGCUAACGCUUGAAUACAUUAGCAUGGAAUAAUGAAAUAGGACGUUCGAUCCUAUUUUGUUGGUUUUUAGGAUUGACGUAAUGAUUAAUAGGGAUAGUUGGGGGAAUUAGUAUUCAAUUGUCAGAGGUGAAAUUCUUGGAUUUAUUGAAGACUAACUACUGCGAAAGCAUUUGCCAAGGAUGUUUUCAUUAAUCAAGAACGAAAGUUAGGGGAUCGAAGACGAUCAGAUACCGUCGUAGUCUUAACCAUAAACUAUGCCGACUAGGGAUCGGAUGAUGUUAAUUUUUUAAUGACUCAUUCGGCGCCUUACG
rnacentral:rRNA from 1 species